UACAGGGGAUGCAAGCGUUAUCCGGAAUUAUUGGGCGUAAAGGGUCCUGAGGUGGCUAUCCAAGUCUAUUGUGAAAUAUCAGGGCUUAACCCUGAACAUGCGGUGGAAACUAGAAAGCUUGAGUACAGUAGGGGCGGAGGGAAUUUCCGGUGGAGCGGUGAAAUGCAUAGAUAUCGGGAAGAACACCAACGGCGAAAGCACUCCGCUGGGCUGAUACUGACGCUGAGAGACGAAAGCUAGGGGAGCGAAUGGG
rnacentral:rRNA from 1 species